GAGCGGGGAUCAGCCGAAGUCGGGAGAGGGGCGCUUCCACGGGGCGGGAAACUGGCGCGCGACUCUGGGGGAAGUGCAGGAUGGGGGGACAGGGGCGCUCCCGCGGGGGUGGAUGGGGGACCAUAGCGGGGCUGGCGGGGCAGGGGCCGGCGCACGAGGCUGGAGGAGGGGAGCGCGCGCUUCUACCCGGGCUGGGUCGCCGAGGUCCGCGGCGCAUCGUGGCGGCGGUGGGCGGAGGGGGGCGGGGGGCACCUCUUCUCCCUUGUGGCGCAGGUGGGCGCGCUCUGGACCGGCUUGACGACCCCUCCCCGCCGCCCCACCUCCCUGGCCAAAGGUUCUCAGCUUCUAAUCAGGGACAUUUCUAGUCCACAGCCUCGAAGCCAUGGGUUCUCCCCGGCCCUCUGAAGCCGCCACACCUGUGCCAGCCGGCCGCGUCCUCAGACCUUUCCCCGCGGAGUCUUCCCAGCACUUGGAGACGCAGCGCAGGGCCCCGAGGACGGCCUGGCCCGGAGAAAAGAUACCGAAGCUCCAACUUUCCCCAACCCCGCUCCCCUCCUCCUUCCACCCUCCCUUCCCGCCCCCAAAGCUCGGGGGUCCUAUCCCUCCUCCGGUCCGCGGAGUCUCCCGAACCCUGCGGGGACCCGGCGCUCGGCGGUGCCCUCCUGGGGCGCACGGGGCUGGGGCGGGAGCGAGGAGACCAGGUGGGGAGGGGACCCCAGAUCUCAGACGCCAGGGGAGACGGCGUUUCCCGCUGUUCAUUCAGGUUUGUGCCAAAAGGAGCCUCACAGAUGCAGUAUUGGGUUUGGUAGACUCAAAUCGUCUUGUUUUAAUGUAAAUGAAAUCCUUCGACCCAGGCACGAGCGCCCAUCGCGGAGGCCACGAUGCCCGUUUUAUUCCCUCUCCACGGCAAGGAAAAGCAGCGAAAUCUGAGGUCUUCAGAGGUUAACCCUAUCUAGGAGCAGAAUGUGACGCAUUGUAAACAAAUAAAUAUUGAAAACUCGAUGUUAAA
rnacentral:lncRNA from 1 species